AUUGAACGCUGGCGGCAUGCCUUACACAUGCAAGUCGAACGGCAGCACGGAGCUUGCUCUGGUGGCGAGUGGCGAACGGGUGAGUAAUAUAUCGGAACGUACCCAAGAGUGGGGGAUAACGUAGCGAAAGUUACGCUAAUACCGCAUACGAUCUAAGGAUGAAAGCAGGGGACCGCAAGGCCUUGUGCUCCUGGAGCGGCCGAUAUCUGAUUAGCUAGUUGGUGAGGUAAAGGCUCACCAAGGCAUCGAUCAGUAGCUGGUCUGAGAGGACGACCAGCCACACUGGAACUGAGACACGGUCCAGACUCCUACGGGAGGCAGCAGUGGGGAAUUUUGGACAAUGGGGGCAACCCUGAUCCAGCAAUGCCGCGUGAGUGAAGAAGGCCUUCGGGUUGUAAAGCUCUUUUGCCAGGGAAGAAACGGUCGUGGCUAAUAUCCAUGGCUAAUGACGGUACCUGAAGAAUAAGCACCGGCUAACUACGUGCCAGCAGCCGCGGUAACAC
rnacentral:rRNA from 1 species